rnacentral:misc_RNA from 1 species
CUUGCUUGUACCAUAACCAUUCAUGCGACUUUUAAAUUCUCUACCUCUUCUAUACCAGAGAAGAAAAUCUCCAGCAGAAUCUUUCUCCCUUGUUGUUUUUCAACCUCAAAAUGCAUACAGCGUUUGUUUUGUCUCUUUCAACCCCAUUUUUAAAUCAACAGAAACUUCUAUAUGGAAAAUCUAUCCCCAGAUUUAAUCCAACCCUGAAACUCUCUGCUUUCAAACCUAUUCAAGCCAGUUGUUCUCAUGGCUUCUCAUGUCAAAAAACCUCAUUUUUGGGUUCUUCCUGUCAAUUUUUCAAGUCUCAGAUAUCUACUUCAAUUCUACAUUCAAAUAGUGGAUGUCACAGUUUGAAUGUCAGAGCCGCCUCAGUUCCUGAUAGCACAAGUGCUAAUGAAACAAGUGACUUGGUCAGGAUUUCGCAGCUAGGUGCUAUGUUUGGAAUUUGGUAUCUUUUGAACAUCUACUUCAACAUUUUCAACAAACAGGUUCUUAAGGUGUAUCCAUUUCCAGCAACAGUUUCUGCUUUCCAAUCUGGCUGUGGGACUGUGAUGAUUAUUAUAAUGUGGGCAUUAAAUCUCUACCAUAGACCAAAGCUGACUAGUUCGCAGGUACUUUCGUUAUUUUAAAGAACUUUUCUUUUUCUUUUGUAAUUUUCUUGAAUUUUGAAUGCAACUGCUAUAUGUUGCUUCUGAUAAAUUCACUUUCAGCUUACAGCAAUCCUGCCAUUGGCUGUAAUUCAUACGCUGGGAAACCUUUUGAUGAAUGUUAGUCUUGGAAAAGUUGCUGUUUCAUUCACUCACACGAUCAAA